AGAACGAACGCUGGCGGCAUGCCUAACACAUGCAAGUCGAACGUGAUCCAGGCUUCGGCCUGGUGAAGGUGGCAGACGGGUGAGUAACGCGUGGGAACCUGCCCUGUGGUAGGGAAUAACCGUGGGAAACUGCGGCUAAUACCCUAUGAGUCCUUCGGGAGAAAGAUUUAUCGCCAUAGGAGGGGCCCGCGUCGGAUUAGGUAGUUGGUGGGGUAACGGCCUACCAAGCCUUCGAUCCGUAGCUGGUCUGAGAGGAUGAUCAGCCACACUGGGACUGAGAUACGGCCCAGACUCCUACGGGAGGCAGCAGUGGGGAAUAUUGGACAAUGGGGGCAACCCUGAUCCAGCAAUGCCGCGUGAGUGAUGAAGGCCUUCGGGUUGUAAAGCUCUUUCGCACGCGACGAUGAUGACGGUAGCGUGAGAAGAAGCCCGCUAACUCGUGCCAGCAGCCGC
rnacentral:rRNA from 1 species